CGUUUGUGGCUGCAGCAAAAGACGUGAUCUCAAAUUGCCAAUCAGUGACUCAGUUUAUUAGCGUUAUUGCCAAUCACUGCCUGGAUCAACAGUGCACCGUUGAGCUCUCACUGAUAGUUGAGCAGAUUCUCACCAUCACCAACCAGCUCAGCAUCAUCUCCAGUGUCAAUGCUGUAACACCAGGCUGCAAGUCAUCCGAUGAGAUCCUGGUAAAGAACUCGCAAAAUCUACUCCAGACGGUCCUGCGGGGGGUCCACGCUGCAGAGACAGCCUGCAUCACAGGUUUGAAGCAGCCGGAGCCAAACUCAGACGGAGCCGAGGCGACAGCUCUGUGUUUCCAGUGGAGGAGGAAGCUGGAGAUCCACCGAGCCCAGCAGACGUCGUCAGAGACUGAUGAUCUGGGUCUGAGGAAGACCUCAUCUCACCCAGUUGCACCAAGUCUUGCUCCACCAGUUACUGUGACGAAUAUCUCUUCAAAGCACAAGAAAUAAUGCAAAAAAUAAGAAGCCUAACACAUCUCUUUUAUUCUAUUUGAUGUAAUAAUGAAGAUUUGGCUGCAGGAUUCUCAGCCUGUUGGAUGAUUUAAAAUUAAGAAUGUACCGAUACACAUCAACAACACAUAUCACAUUACUCGAUUAAUGAUACAAUUUUA